rnacentral:rRNA from 1 species
ACCCGCACAAGCGGUGGAUGAUGUGGAUUAAUUCGAUGCAACGCGAAAACCUUACCUACCCUUGACAUGUCCGGAAUCCUGCAGAGAUGCGGGAGUGCCGAAAGGGAAUCGGAACACAGGUGCUGCAUGGCUGUCGUCAGCUCGUGUCGUGAGAUGUUGGGUUAAGUCCCGCAACGAGCGCAACCCUUAUCAUUAGUCGCUACGCAAGGGCACUCUAAUGAGACUGCCGGUGACAAACCGGAGGAAGUGGGGAUGACGUCAAGUCCUCAUGGCCCUUAUGGGUAGGGCUUCACACGUCAUACAAUGGUCGGUACAGAGGGUUGCCAAGCCGCGAGGUGGAGCCAAUCCCAGAAAGCCGAUCGUAGUCCGGAUUGUUCUCUGCAACUCGAGAGCAUGAAGUCGGAAUCGCUAGUAAUCGCGGAUCAGCAUGUCGCGGUGAAUACGUUCCCGGGUCUU